rnacentral:rRNA from 1 species
AUGGGAGCUUGCUCCCUGAUGUUAGCGGCGGACGGGUGAGUAACACGUGGGUAACCUGCCUGUAAGACUGGGAUAACUCCGGGAAACCGGGGCUAAUACCGGAUGCUUGAUUGAACCGCAUGGUUCAAUUAUAAAAGGUGGCUUUUAGCUACCACUUACAGAUGGACCCGCGGCGCAUUAGCUAGUUGGUGAGGUAACGGCUCACCAAGGCAACGAUGCGUAGCCGACCUGAGAGGGUGAUCGGCCACACUGGGACUGAGACACGGCCCAGACUCCUACGGGAGGCAGCAGUAGGGAAUCUUCCGCAAUGGACGAAAGUCUGACGGAGCAACGCCGCGUGAGUGAUGAAGGUUUUCGGAUCGUAAAACUCUGUUGUUAGGGAAGAACAAGUACCGUUCGAAUAGGGCGGUACCUUGACGGUACCUAACCAGAAAGCCACGGCUAACUACGUGCCAGCAGCCGCGGUAAUACGUAGGUGGCAAGCGUUGUCCGGAAUUAUUGGGCGUAAAGCGCGCGCAGGCGGUUUCUUAAGUCUGAUGUGAAAGCCCCCGGCUCAACCGGGGAGGGUCAUUGGAAACUGGGGAACUUGAGUGCAGAAGAGGAGAGUGGAAUUCCACGUGUAGCGGUGAAAUGCGUAGAGAUGUGGAGGAACACCAGUGGCGAAGGCGACUCUCUGGUCUGUAACUGACGCUGAGGCGCGAAAGCGUGGGGAGCGAACAGGAUUAGAUACCCUGGUAGUCCACGCCGUAAACGAUGAGUGCUAAGUGUUAGAGGGUUUCCGCCCUUUAGUGCUGCAGC